UACAGAGGGUGCAAGCGUUAAUCGGAAUUACUGGGCGUAAAGCGUGCGUAGACGGUAGCGUAAGUCGGGUGUGAAAGCCCCGGGCUCAACCUGGGAAUGGCAUUCGAGACUGCUCUGCUAGGGUGCGGAAGAGGGGAGCGGAAUUUCCGGUGUAGCGGUGAAAUGCGCAGAUAUCAGGAGGAACACCGGUGGCGAAGGCGGUUCUCUGGGCAUUACCUGACGCUGAGGAGCGAAAGUGUGGGGAGCGAACAGG
rnacentral:rRNA from 1 species